UAAAUGGAGAAACGUCUAAUGGCGUUUUCUCUGAAAGCAAAGAAAACAGAGAAAAAGGAAAAGGUCGGGAUAUCGUUUCAGUCGCCCUAUCUUCGUUUGGCGAUUAGAUUGUUGACUCGACUACAU